GGAAGAAAACAAACCAGCGGCAAUAUAAAUACUGGCAAUGGUAAAUGGUCUAGGGUUCUGCGAAUGAGGCUCCAAAAGAGGGAUGGGUCUUUCCAAGGGUGGUUGCCCCCUCUGAAGAUCAUCAGAGCCGAUGAUUUCUUACCAAAAUCAACAGCCCUUGUAUGUAUCUCUCUCUCUCUCUCUCUCUCUCCGCGUGUGUGUGUGUGUUCUUCUUGCUGGUAAAACAGCUUGGGAAAAUUUCACUGAUUACCCCCUGAGGUUGAACAGAGUGAUUAUUCAGUUUUCACCAGAAACUACUAGUACUACUACUCCCUCCGUUCCAAUUUAUUACUACUUCCUUUUCGGGCAACCGGACAAAGUUCCGUAUGGCUGCCGCGAAGGAGUUGAUUGAGGGUUUUGAAACAGAGACCUAAGAUGAAGAAGAAGCAGCAGACCCUAAGAUUAAGGCUAAGUUCGGCUAAAAUCAAGCAGAGGCAUUGAUCGCGAGGCCAAUCCCUUUCGGGUUUUGCCGCGAUACCUAUAAGGCUGUGAGGAUCAGUUUCGGAGCAGUUAUGAUGCAGUGAGGAGGAUCCGACCCGUGUAUUGGCGGGGCACACAGAGGGUCUGUAGGAGGUUUAUAUGGGCAACUGUUGUUGCAGCCAUGGCGGAGUCGGAUUCUCGUCCGAUCAUACGCAGGCACUUGAGACGUCUUGCUGUUGUGGCAGGGUAUCUCAGUGAGUCUCAUGGCUCCUGUUGUUGCAGCCAUGGCAGAGGGCCUCAUUUGUCUGAGAAAAAGGCGAAUCUGAGCCUUGUCUUCUCUCUUCAUAUCUUCUUCCCUCUUUUGGACUGUUCGCUUUGGGUCUCUUGAACCAUGAGCAAUAUAAAAGGAUAAUGCUAAGCAGGUCCUAUUUUUUUAGUUCAUGGUUUGGGGGAUCCUUCCCAUAAAAUUCCAAUAUAAAUAUUGACGGUGAGAAGGGAUGUAGGGUUCUGCUCAAGAAUGAGGCUUCAAAAGGGGGAAUGAGUGUUUCUAAGGGUGGUUGCCCCCUCUCAGCAACGAGAUGAUACCUGAUCAUCAUAGCCGAUGAUUUUCUUCCCAAAAUCAACAGCCCUUGUCUGUGUGUGUGUUUUUACUUGCUAGUAAAACAGCCAGGGAAAAUUUCAUUGAUUACCCCCAAAGGUAUCCAAAAGCAGAGGAAAUAGAGUUAUUAUUCAGUGUUCACCAAAAACUACUACUCCCUCCGUUCUAAAUUACUUCCUUUUUGGGCAAUUGGACAAAGUUUCGUAUGGAUUGCCCCGAAGGAGUUGACAACGCUUGCGAGAUUUUUAGAUUUUUGAACCGAGACCUAAGAAGAAGAAGAAGCAACCCCCAAAGCAUGAGGCAUUGAUCUCGAGGCCGAUCCCUUUCGGUCUUUGCCGCGAUAUGUAUAAGGCUGUGAGGAUCAGUUUCGGAGCAGAAAUUUAGAGACAACGAUCUAACCCGUUGCUUGGCGGGGCACACAGAGGGUCUGUAGGAGGCUCUUAUGGGGCACACAGAGGGUCUGUAGGAGGCUCUUAUGGACAACUGUUGUUGCAGCCAUGGCAGAGUCGGAUUCUCGUCCGAUCAUACACAGAUCUGAGCCUUUACCCUUUAUCCCCUUCAAUUUCUACGCAUAUAUUACACCCACAUACACCCCUACAUGCAUUUACAGUUCACAUAUUUAUUGAUCUGAUUUUUGUGAUUUUAGAUAGAAACAAGUCUUAAUUGGGGCAUUUUUUGGGGGUAUUUUGAUGAUUCUAAAGCUUAGUAUUUGUUUUUUGCUGUUUUUUUUUUUUGGUUUUUGUUUUUUUCACUUCAUUCGUUUGUUGAUUUAUUGGUUAGAAAGUAUUAUGCUGGGUCUUGUUUUGUGGUUAUUAAGUUUAGAACUACUCCUACUUUCAUUACUUUCACGGUACUCACUGCUCGGUGUGUAUUUAAAAAAAAAACGGACCUUCAAUUGUUGAUUCAGUUAAGGUGCCUUUCAUUAUUUUGUUGGUCACUUGUGGUAAAUUUAUUUGUGUACCAAACAAUGAAAAAUAUUUUACACAAAAAUUAUUUAUUCCAAAAUCAUUUUACAAUUUACAUCGUAAAAUAUUUGUCGUCGAAACAAACGGAGCCUAAAGGUGAUGUAUUGUGAGAAUGACCAAUUUUGUAAAGCGGAUAAUAAGUACUUAAAAAAAUAAGUGUGCCUUGUGGUGGAGAUUUGGGAUCGAACUCACGACCCCUACUUCCUGCCGUGCUAAGAAUUUUCUCUCAGAAAAAGAUGCACUGCUAUAACAAAGUGAUAUCAAUUCUCUGAAAUGGGUCUUCAGAAUUUGUUAGCCAUUGCAUGUUUACUGAGGAAAAGAUGGGGUGUGAAGUCCUGGGCCGUCAUUUUCCCUAGAAUUUCUCUGGACCAGAAGUUACCGUUGGGCUACAAGCCCGUUGGUCAGCAUUGACAUAAGUUUACAAGAACGCAGCCUUAUCGAGGAAAAGUGGGGCUGUGAAUAGAAUUUCCUUGGACCUCUCUGAAAAUGGCUGUCAUUGGCAGAAUGACUGAAACACCCGCCUGGCUUUCGGCGCGGGCCAAUAUAAAUAUGGACGUGAGGAAGCGUUUAGGGCUAAAAAUCUCAUUAGUUUAAGUAUGAGGCUCGAUCAAAGGGAUGGGGAAGUUUCUAAGGGUGGUUGCCCUCUCUGUACAAGAUGAUCUCUUUCUUUCCAGAUCGAUCUUCUUGGAGCCGAUGAUUAUCAUAUAUACAAGAUUCAACAGCCCUUCUGCAUACAUACACUCGUACAUAUAUAUAUAUAUUGAAGUGGCUGUGAAAAGCGCGCUCUCUCUCUCUCUGUGCCAAUUUGAAUGAGGCUGUGAUGAUAUUUUCGAACAAAAUCAGGAACUUGAGGACUACUCUUGUUUUGGCGGGGUAACUCAGUGAGUCUUUCAUGGCUCCUGUUGUUGCAGCCAUGGUGGAGGGCCUCAUUUGACUGAGAAAAGGCGAAUCUGAGCCUUGUCGUCU